rnacentral:piRNA from 1 species
GAGCCCAGGACCCACAGGACAAAUACGUCA